rnacentral:tRNA from 1 species
GGCUCGGUGGCCAAGUGGCAAGGCGUCUGUCUCGUAAACAGAAGAUCGAGGGUUCAAAUCCCUCUCGGGCCU